AGUGAACGCUGGCGGUAGGCCUAACACAUGCAAGUCGAACGGCAGCACAGUAAGAGCUUGCUCUUACGGGUGGCGAGUGGCGGACGGGUGAGGAAUACAUCGGAAUCUACUUUUUCGUGGGGGAUAACGUAGGUAAACUUACGCUAAUACCGCAUACGACCUACGGGUGAAAGCAGUGGAUCUUCGGACCUUGCGCGAUUGAAUGAGCCGAUGUCGGAUUAGCUAGUUGGCGGGGUAAAGGCCCACCAAGGCGACGAUCCGUAGCUGGUCUGAGAGGCUGAUCAGCCACACUGGAACUGAGACACGGUCCAGACUCCUACGAGAGGCAGCAGUGGGGAAUAUUGGACAAUGGGCGCAAGCCUGAUCCAGCCAUACCGCGUGGGUGAAGAAGGCCUUCGGGUUGUAAAGCCCUUUUGUUGGGAAAGAACAGCAGCAGGUUAAUACCCCGCUGUUCUGACGGUACCCAAAGAAUAAGCACCGGCUAACUUCGUG
rnacentral:rRNA from 1 species